GUCCAGGGAUGGGAAUCGAACCCACAGUGUUCCGCUUACCGGGUAGAUGCCUGUCCACUAAGCUACCCUGGA
rnacentral:tRNA from 1 species